UUCUUUUGGUAAUAAUAAAAAGUAAAGUCUGCCCACUGAUUUAAUUAAUGAAGGGCCGCGGUAUUUUGACCGUGCUAAGGUAGCAUAAUCAUUAGUCUCUUAAUUAGGGAAUGGAAUGAAUGGCUUAACUUAGAGGAAUUUUAUUGUUAAAAUUAAAUGAAUUUUAAUUCUGUGUGAAAAUUUUUAGAUUAAGCAAAAAGACGAUAAGACCCUAUAGAGCUUAAUCCCUUUAAAAAAGUAACUUCUUGGGGGAAGAAGUUACUUUUUUAAAGGGAUUUAGUUGGGGCAAUUUUAGAAUAAAUUUAACUUCUAUUUACAGAAAAGUCUUAAAUUUUAAAGUUAAAAAAGUUACCUUAGGGAUAACAGCGUUAUAAUUUUUGAGAGUUCAUAUCGACGAAAUUGUUUGCGACCUCGAUGUUGAAUUAAAAAUUCUAUAUAGGGCAGUUUUUAUAUUAGAUAGUCUGUUCGACCAUUAAAUUUUU
rnacentral:rRNA from 1 species